rnacentral:rRNA from 1 species
GACGAACGCUGGCGGCGUGCUUAACACAUGCAAGUCGAACGAAGUGGCGAACGGGUGAGUAAUACGUGAGUAACCUGCCCUCCUUUUUGGGAUAAGCCUUGGAAACGGGGUCUAAUACCGAAUCAAGGGGGAUGGGCUCGCGGCCUAUCGGCUUGGUGGUGGGGUGAUGGCCUACCAAGGCGUUGACGGGUAGCCGGCCUGAGAGGGUGACCGGCGACAUUGGGACUGGGAUACGGCCCAGAAGCGGACGGGAGGCAGCAGUGGGGGAUAUUGCACAAUGGGCGAAAGGCUGAUGCAGCGACGCCGCGUGGGGGAUGAGGGUUUUCGGGUUGUAAACCUCUUUCGCUAUCGAAGGGGUAGGUGGAGAAGAAGCGCCGGCUAACUACGUGCCAGCCGCCGCGGUAAUAC